ACUCAGGCGCCCCGGUGUAAGGUCUGGGUCCCACUUCUUCUGCGUGUGGAUGUCCAGUUUUCCCAAUACCAUUUGUUGAGGAGACUGUCUUUCCCCAUUGUGUAGUCUUGGCAACCUUGUUGGAAAUCAUUUGACCACUAGGCUCCAUGCCCAGUGUGGAGCUCAGUGUGGGACUUGA